GCUAAGGUCCCAAAAUAUAUUUUAUGUGGAAAAGGAUGUGGCGUUGACCAGACAACUAGGAUGUUGGCUUAGAAGCAGCCAUCUUUUAAAGAGUGCGUAAUAGCUCACUAGUCGAGUGACACUGCGCCGAAAAUGUACCGGGGCUAAACUUAUUACCGAAGCGGUGGAUUGUCCUUUGGACAAUGGUAGGAGAGCGUUCUAAGGGCGUUGAAGCAUGAUCGUAAGGAGA
rnacentral:rRNA from 1 species